GCCAGUCCCAGUUCGGAUAAGAGGCUGAAACUCGCCUCUUUGAAGUCGGAAUCGCUAGUAAUCGCAGAUCAGCAUGUUGCGGUGAAUACGUUCCCGGGUCUUGUACACACCGCCCGUCAAACCAUGAGAGUCACCAACACCCGAAGUCCGCCUUGGCGGCCUAAGGUGGGGAGAUGAUUGGGGUUAAGUCGUAACAAGGUAUC
rnacentral:rRNA from 1 species